rnacentral:rRNA from 1 species
AGCGUAGGUGGCCUAACAUGUCAACUGUGAAAACCCGGAGCUCAACUCCGGACUUGCAGUUGAAACUGGUAGGCUUGAGGACGGUAGAGGAAGACGGAACUGCCAGUGUAGGGGUAAAAUCCUUAGAUAUUGGCAGGAACGCCGGUGACGAAGGCGGUUUUCUGGGCCGGUUCUGACACUGAUGCUCGAAAGCCAGGGGAGCGAACGG